rnacentral:rRNA from 1 species
AUUGAACGCUGGCGGCAUGCCUUACACAUGCAAGUCGAACGGUAACAGGUCUUCGGAUGCUGACGAGUGGCGAACGGGUGAGUAAUACAUCGGAACGUGCCCAGACGUGGGGGAUAACGAGGCGAAAGCUUUGCUAAUACCGCAUACGAUCUAAGGAUGAAAGCAGGGGACCGCAAGGCCUUGCGCGUUUGGAGCGGCCGAUGGCAGAUUAGGUAGUUGGUGGGAUAAAAGCUUACCAAGCCGACGAUCUGUAGCUGGUCUGAGAGGACGACCAGCCACACUGAGACUGAGACACGGCCCAGACUCCUACGGGAGGCAGCAGUGGGGAAUUUUGGACAAUGGGCGAAAGCCUGAUCCAGCAAUGCCGCGUGCAGGAUGAAGGCCUUCGGGUUGUAAACUGCUUUUGUACGGAACGAAAAGGCUCUGGCUAAUACCUGGGGCACAUGACGGUACCGUAAGAAUAAGCACCGGCUAACUACGUG